AUCCGACCCAACAUUAUUCUUGUGCUUACCGAUGAUCAAGAUGUGGAGCUGGGGUCCCUGCAAGUCAUGAACAAAACGAGAAAGAUUAUGGAACAUGGCGGGGCCACCUUCAUCAAUGCCUUUGUGACUACACCCAUGUGCUGCCCGUCACGGUCCUCCAUGCUCACCGGGAAGUAUGUGCACAAUCACAAUGUCUACACCAAUAACGAGAACUGCUCUUCCCCCUCAUGGCAGGCCAUGCAUGAGCCUCGGACUUUUGCUGUAUAUCUUAACAACACUGGCUACAGAACAGGCAACAGCAUUAGGAAGCAAGUAAAACAUUCAGAUGGAGGAAUUCUACAGGUACAGGUGCUCCUUGACUUACGAUGGGGUCACAUCCCAAUAAACCCAUCAUAAGUUGAAAAUCCUUUUUUGGAAAAUACCUCAAUGAAUAUAAUGGCAGCUACAUCCCCCCUGGGUGGCGAGAAUGGCUUGGAUUAAUCAAGAAUUCUCGCUUCUAUAAUUACACUGUUUGUCGCAAUGGCAUCAAAGAAAAGCAUGGAUUUGAUUAUGCAAAG
rnacentral:sRNA from 1 species